rnacentral:rRNA from 1 species
GACGUAGGGCGCGAGCGUUGUCCGGAUUUAUUGGGCGUAAAGAGCUCGUAGGCGGUCUGUCGCGUCUGCUGAUGAAAACUCGGGGCUUAACCCCGGGCCUGCAGUGGGUACGGGCAGACUAGAGUGCGGUAGGGGAGACUGGAAUUCCUGGUGUAGCGGUGAAAUGCGUAGAUAUCGGGAGGAACACCUGUGGCGAAAGGCGGCGCCACUGGACCACAACUGACGCUGGAGGCACGAAAGCGUGGGGAGCAAACAGG